AGCUUCUUGAACACAUAAUAAGAAGUGGAGCCUGCCCAGUGACCUACGGGUUAAACGGCCGCGGUACCCUGACCGUGCUAAGGUAGCAUGUAAUAUACCCUUUAAUUGUGGGAUUGUAUGAACGGACAAACGAAAGUCAAGCUGUUUCUUAAAUAACCAUAUAAAUUAUUCUUCAGGUGAAGAAACCUGAAUACUAUUAAAAGACAAGAAGACCCUGUAGAGCUUUACCUUAACAAGCGGCGGAAAAAGAGCAAUAGCAUCUUUUUCUACCAAUAAUAAAGGUUUAACUGGGGCGGUUGGAGAACAAUAAACUUCUACCUUACAACUAAGGCUUACACGCCUAACUAACACAAAACAAAUUUACAGAAUCAAGCUACCUCAGGGAUAACAGUCUAAUCUUUCCUGAGAGUACCUAUUGAAGGAAAGGCUUGGCACCUCGAUGUUGGCUUAGGGUAUCCCGGGGGUAGUAGCAGCCCCCAAAGGUAGGUUUGUUCAACCUUCAAAACCCU
rnacentral:rRNA from 1 species